AGACAGGGGUGGCAAGCGUUGUUGGGAUUUACUGGGCUUAAAGGGCGUGUAGGCGUCCUGGUAAGUCAGAUGUGGAAGCCUUGGGCUCAACCCAAGAAUUGCAUUUGAUACUGCCGGGAUUGAGUCGUGCAUGGGAGGGCGGAAUUCCUGGUGUAGCGGUGAAAUGCGUAGAUAUCAGGAGGAAGGCCGGUGGCGAAGGUGGCCCUCUGGGCAAUGACUGACGCUGAGGCGCGAAAGCGUGGGGAGCAAACAGGAUUAGAUACCCUAGUAGUCC
rnacentral:rRNA from 1 species